AUUUUGCUGAGAGGCUCUCUCUCUACUUUGUUUCUCUGUCUAAAACUUCGGCGGAUCAUAACUUUUGAUCCGUAACUCCGAUUCAGGAUCCGCGAAAAGCUACGGAUUCGUCUUGAUGUCCUCUUUCUAUCCAUAGAGGUUUGAUUUAGAUCCAAUGGUGAUUUCUAGAAGGCUCGGUUUACGAUCGGUAUUCUAGGAGGCGAUUCGUAUUAUCGAGAGAAGUACUUAGGUUUUGACGAGCCGAAGUGGGUUGGACGAGCCUAGAAUGAAGAGCCUAGAAGGAAGAUUUUAUUUACAUUCUGCCUUGUAACACUCACACCUCAAAUUCGGGGUCAGGUGCUUAAAAUCCACCGACACCGGGUCCGGGGUGUGACAGAAAUUUCCAAUCUCAAAAAUAAAAUUUGACUAACUUGCAAAUA